CUCUCCUCUCUCCUCCGCUGCACUUCUCUCUUCUCAAGGUUACAGCUCAGAUCUGUGGACGCGAUGGGGACGCUGGUGGUUACGUUUUGCGUCUUGGCUGCGCUGGAAGUGGGAUGUCGGCCGCUCUCCUCUUCUUCCCUGAAAGAAGCAAAGGUGGAGUGCAUCAUUCAGCAGACUCUGAGCGGAGAUGACACGCAGGACCAGUGUGUGCCACAGUUAGCAGAGGAGCUGCAGCAGGUCCAGAGGCAUCAUGGUCUGCUCCAGGAGCUGCAGGACCUCGCCCAGCGCGAGAGAAAACGUGAGCGAGACGAGGAAGACGAGGAUGAAGAAGAGGAGGAUGACGGAGAGGAGGAGGGAUACAACAUGGCCGACGGCGAUGAGGACGACGACUUUGACGAAGAAGACGAGGAUGAUGAAGAUGAAGACACAGACUCUGACAGAAAUGAACAGGAGGAGGUGAAGGAGAUCCAAGAUGGCCGACAGGAGGGAGAGGAGGAGGAGGAUGAGGUGAAGGAGCUGAUGAAGGAGGCCAAAAAGACGGAGGAGGUGGAGCAGAGGAGGAAGGCGGAGGUGGAGUUGUUGAUGGAGAAGAGGAAGGUGCAGAGGGAGCUCCAGGAUCUGCAGAAGAAACCCACAGCGGAGGGAGAGAAGGAGGUGCAGAGGAAGACCGAGGAGCUGAAGGAGCUGGAGGCAAAGAUGCAGAGAGUCAGAGAGGAGGAGAAGCAGAGGAAGACCGAG
ensembl:lncRNA